rnacentral:misc_RNA from 1 species
GAUGAAGAACGAGCGAAAUGCGAUAAGUAAUGUGAAUUGCAGAAUUCAGUGAAUCAUCGAAUCUUUGAACGCACAUUGCGCCCCUUGGUAUUCCGAGGGGCAUGCCUGUUCGAGCGUCAUUAUAACCCCUCAAGCUCAGCUUGGUGUUGGGGCCUGCUGCACUGGCAGCCCUUAAAAUCAGUGGCGGCGCCAUCUGGCUCUAAGCGUAGUAAUUCUUCUCGCUAUGGAGUCCUGGUGGAUGCUUGCCAUCAACCCCCAAUUUUUCUAUGGUUGACCUCGGAUCAGGUAGGGAUACCCGCUGAACUUAAGCAUAUCAAUAAGCGGAGGA